rnacentral:rRNA from 1 species
AUGGGAAGAACAUGUGUGUUUGUUCAUCAUGGGGACAAAGACGCCUUUUUGAAAGGCAAUAAAGAACCGGACCCGGAUGAGUUUGACAUGGUGUUUGAUAGUAGUCCUAGCUAUGCGGAGCUCUUGCAACAAGUUAGGAAAGAUUUGAAUUGGAUGGACCCUAGUGAUAUCAUUGAGUUGGAGGGAAGGCAUAAUGUUGGUUUUGGAAUGCACAUCCGUUGGAAGACAAUGCGUGUAAACUCGGAGCAACGUUGGGUUGCAUACAAGGAGACGGUGGCCGAAUCACUAGACAAGGCUCUUGAGUUAUUUGCAACGAAGAAGGUUGAUUCAAGUUUGCAUUUGGACUUGAACCGGAACCCCUCCCCUUUGGUUGCUAGUAGCCCCCCAUCCUUGAAGCGAGAUGAAAUUGUUGAACCUCUUUUGACCCAAGAAGUGAGGCCAACAUUGAGCC